rnacentral:rRNA from 1 species
AACGAACGCUGGCGGCGUGCCUAACACAUGCAAGUCGAACGAGACUUCCCGGUCCUUUGGCGCAUGGGUGCGUAACGCGUGGGAAACUGCCCUUAGGUUCACCAUACCUCCCCGACAGGGUUGCCACUAGCGGGGGAGGUCUUCGGGCGAAAGAUUUAUCGUCCUUGGAUGGGCGCGCGUGGGAGUAGCUAGUUGGUAGGGUAAAAGCCUACCAAGGCGAGGAGCCAUAGCUGGUCUGUGAGGAGGAUCAGCCACGCUGGGACUGGGACACGGCCCAGACUCGUACGGGAGGCAGGGGGGGGGAAUAGUGGACCGUGGGCGAAAGCCUGAUCGAGCAAUGCCGCGUGAGUGAUGAUGGCCUUAGGGAUGUAAAGCCCGUUUACCCUGGAUGAUAUUGACGGUACCGGGUGAAUAAGCUCCGGCUAACUACGUG